rnacentral:rRNA from 1 species
GUGUGAAGAAGGCCUUCGGGUUGUUAAAGCACUUUCAGUAGGGAGGAAGGUAGUGUAGUUAACACCUGCACUAUUUGACGUUACCUACAGAAGAAGCACCGGCUAACUCCCGUGCCAGCAGCCGCGGUAAUACGGAGGGUGCGAGCGUUAAUCGGAAUUACUGGGCGUAAAGCGCAUGCAGGCGGCCUGUUAAGUCAGAUGUGAAAGCCCGGGGCUUAACCUCGGAAUUUGCAUUUGAAACUGGCAGGCUAGAGUCUUGUAGAGGGGGUAGAAUUUCAGGUGUAGCGGUGAAAUGCGUAGAGAUCUGAAGGAAUACCGGUGGCGAAGGCGGCCCCCUGGACAGAUACUGACACUCAGAUGCGAAAGCGUGGGGAGCAAACAGGAUUAGAUACCCUGGUAG